rnacentral:rRNA from 1 species
AUUGAACGCUGGCGGCAGGCCUAACACAUGCAAGUCGAACGGUAGCACAGAGAGCUUGCUCUCGGGUGACGAGUGGCGGACGGGUGAGUAAUGUCUGGGAAACUGCCUGAUGGAGGGGGAUAACUACUGGAAACGGUAGCUAAUACCGCAUAACGUCGCAAGACCAAAAGAGGGGGACCUUCGGGCCUCUUGCCAUCAGAUGUGCCCAGAUGGGAUUAGCUAGUAGGUGGGGUAACGGCUCACCUAGGCGACGAUCCGUAACUGGUCUGAGAGGAUGAUCAGUCACACUGGAACUGAGACACGGUCCAGACUCCUACGGGAGGCAGCAGUGGGGAAUAUUGGACAAUGGGCGAAAGCCUGAUCCAGCCAUGCCGCGUGCGUGAAGAAGGUCUUCGGAUUGUAAAGCACUUUAAGUUGGGAGGAAGGGCAGUAAGUUAAUACCGUUGCUGUUUUGACGUUUACCAACAGAAUAAGCACCGGCUAACUUUAUGCCAGCAGCCG